rnacentral:rRNA from 1 species
GAUGAACGCUGGCGGCGUGCCUAAUACAUGCAAGUCGAGCGAACAGACGAGGAGCUUGCUCCUCUGACGUUAGCGGCGGACGGGUGAGUAACACGUGGAUAACCUACCUAUAAGACUGGGAUAACUUCGGGAAACCGGCGCUAAUACCGGAUAAUAUAUUGAACCGCAUGGUUCAAUAGUGAAAGACGGUUUUGCUGUCACUUAUCGAUGGAUCCGCGCCGCAUUAGCUAGUUGUUAAGGUAACGGCUUACCAAGGCAACGAUGCGUAGCCGACCUGAGAGGGUGAUCGGCCACACUGGAACUGAGACACGGUCAAGACUCCUACGGGAGGCAGCAGUAGGGAAUCUUCCGCAAUGGGCGAAAGCUUGACGGAGCAACGCCGCGUGAGUGAUGAAGGUCUUCGGAUCGUAAAACUCUGUUAUUAGGGAAGAACAAAUGUGUAAGUAACUAUGCACGUCUUGACGGUACCUAAUCAGAAAGCCACGGCUAACUACGUG